rnacentral:Y_RNA from 1 species
GGCUGGUCCGAAGGCAGUGGUUGCCACCAUUAAUUGAUUACAGACAGUUACAGACUUCUUUGUUCCCCUCCCACUGCUUCCCUUGACUAGCCUUUU